UAAAUCCUAGGCUAUGGGGAGAGCAUUCCAGUGAUGUGAGAGGCCUCGGAGGCACAUCCUUCUGGGGCGUGCCUUCCCUUCAUUGUCUCCCCUUUCUGCUGGCUGGAUGGGGAUGUGGAGGAGAGGACCCUUGGACCAUGGGGAUGGGAGCAACGUGCCAGGCAUGGCAGCGCAAUAGAGGUGGGUUCUACCAAAGGAGCUGCUCUACCCAUCCUGGACUGCUUCUAUCUGGAUGUUGGGUGGAACAUCUUUUGAAGAGCUCAGACCCUGGACCCCUGAUCUUAAUGAGCUUUGCAGCCUUCAGUGACACAACCUGGAUUUAAACUCAUGGAUGUCGGCCUCUGCUCUGCGUUGAAUUGUAUCCUCCCAAAAAGGAGAUGUUGGAGCUCUGAGACCCAGCACCUCAGAAUGUGUUUCUACUUGGAAAUAGGGUCUUUACCAAGACCCUAUUCCAAUAGGACUGGUGACCUGUGGGAGAAAUGUGGACACAGAGACAGACAGACAUAGAGGGAAGAUGACGGCAGAGUCACAGGGAGAAGACGGUCAUCUACGAGCCAAGGAGAGAGGCCUGGCACAGAUCCUUCCCUCACAGCACCCAGAGAGCCUUCAGACAAUACAUCUGUGCUGUGUAAGCCGCUCCGUCUGUGGCUCUCUGUUACAGCAGCCCCAGAAAACAAAUAGAGACUCUUAAUUGCCAAGCCAUGUUCCUCCCAUAGUACGAUUUCUCAUCAGAUAGUCUAUCUUCGCUGCUAAAACAGGUAUUUCUGGAUGGUAGAGGUCAUGUGUAGCUUGCAUAUUUAGUAUGAGGUAUGUGAAAGUCACCUCAUAGAUAUUAAAUUAUUUGGCUACAGCUUUGAGCUUGGCCUCUCUCUUAAGGAUUACCUUGCCAUAGGGACAGGAAGCCAUCGUGAUAUAAAGGCUGAAGUUUCUGUAAGAUUUUGAUUUUUAAUCUAACAUGAUAUUAACAACUGUGCCCGUUGGGCGUGAUGGCUCACACCUACAAUCCCAGCACUUUGGGAGGCCAAGGCGGAGGAUCACUUGAGGUCAGGAGUUUGAGACCAGCCUGGCCAACAUGGUGAAACCCCGUCUCUACCAAAAAUACAAAAAUUAGCCGGGCUUGGGGGUGCAUGCCUGUAAUCCCAGCUACUUGGGAGGCGAAGGCAGGAGAAUUGCUUGAACCCAGGAGGUGGAGGUUGCAGUGAGCCAAGACUGUACCACUGCGCUCCAGCCUCGGCAACAGAGUGAGACUCUGUCUCAAAACAGACAAACAAACAAAAUAAUAACUGUACCUAUACAAGGUCCCCAAGAUAAUUAAAAGGCUCACUUGAGCAGAGUAACUGAGGAGAGUCUUUUGGGGUUCUUUGUUUUUUUUUUUUAGAGACAGUCUCACUCUGUCGCCCAGUCUAGAGUGCAGAGGCGCAAUCUUGGCUCACUGCAACCUCCGCCUCCCAGGUUCAAGAGAUCCUCCUGCCUCGGCCUCUCAAAGUGCUGGGACUACAGGCACAUGCCACCAUGUCCGGCUGAGGAAUGUUUAAUAAAAGGGGUAUUUACCAAGAUAUAAGCAAGGUAUAGAGAAAUCAGCAGGGUUGAUGAAGCACCCCGGGGCUACCAACAACCAAAAGCCCUUCCCUCUCCAAGGCCUCCAAAGGCAGCAGGAGGGAGUGGUUAUCAGAAAAUGGCAAGAUCCAUAGGAAAAAGGCCACCCCAUGGGAGCUGUGGGUUUCAGUAGAGGGACACAGCCACUGCCAGACCAUGGCCAGCCAGGGAGUUAAUAGCCCAGCCCCACCUUGGCCCUCCCAUCUCCCACUCCUCCUUAUUGGCUGAACCCAGCAAGAAACCAGAUGUCACAGAACCAGGAGAUGUGGUCCCCACUGCCCGGCCUCUUGGGCACAGAGGAGGGAAGAGAAAAUGGAGAGUGGAUCUGGAGGGGCAAAUGAAGUAUUAAUAUUCUGUACACUCAGAAUGUCCACAGAGUGAACACUGGCUUGCCGGCUGACCCCAUUUCUUGAAAAUCAUCCUAUCCCUGCAGGUUAUUUAUGUUGUUACCCUUUUGCAAGAACCACAUAAAAUAUUUUACAUGCUUUUAAAACUCAUAAAUGUAAUGAAGCCAAGAUGUUUCAGCAAAUGUGCUCAAUGGGCAAAUCCUUCCAAAGAUCUGCUCUCAGCUGACGUCAGGACAAAAGGCACAUCUCACGACCUGCAGAGCGUCUGACGUUAAAGCCAAUAAAUUCAUCCCCCUGACCCACAUGGCUUCCAGAAUGUACAAGCUGUCAGUGGAUCUUAAAAAUGUAUCUAUUCCUUCAUUCACUUCCUGCCGUUCGUCUCUUGCAAGUAUUUACUGCUCUUUAAAAACUGAACUCCACCAGCUGGAAAUGCAUUAGUGCAGGGAGAUGGCUGUACUUUGUUCCGGCAGGAAUUGUGCAUGCAACUUCCAAUCUGACUUUUCUGAGACAUUAAUAAAAACACAUGCGUCCUGAAAUUUGGGUUGAUAAUCUUUGGGGGCUCAGUGUAAAAACCAGUAAGAGUUUUAGCACAAAGCCUGGCAUUCAAAAAGAGAAGCUGGGCCGGGCGCGGUAGCUCCCGCCUGUAAUCCCUGCACUUUGGGAGGCCGAGGCGGGCGGAUCAGGAGGUCAGGAGAUUGAGACCAUCCUGGCUAACACGGUGAAACCCCGUCUCUACUAAAAAUACAAAAAAAAAUUAGCCGGGCUUGGUUG
rnacentral:lncRNA from 10 species